AGUGAACGCUGGCGGUAGGCCUAACACAUGCAAGUCGAACGGCAGCACAGUAAGAGCUUGCUCUUACGGGUGGCGAGUGGCGUACGGGUGAGGAAUACAUCGGAAUCUACUUUUUCGUGGGGGAUAACGUAGGGAAACUUACGCUAAUACCGCAUACGACCUACGGGUGAAAGCAGGGGAUCUUCGGACCUUGCGCGAUUGGAUGCGCCGAUGUCGGAUUAGCUAGUUGGCGGGGUAAAGGCCCACCAAGGCGACGAUCCGUAGCUGGUCUGAGAGGAUGAUAAGCCACACGGGAACUGAGACAGGGUCAAGACUCCUACGGGAGGCAGCAGUGGGGAAUAUUGGACAAUGGGCGCAAGCCUGAUCCAGCCAUACCGCGUGGGUGACGAAGGCCUUCGGGUUGUAAAGCCCUUUUGUUGGGAAAGAAAAGCAGCAGGUUAAUACCCCGCCGUUCUGACGGUACCCAAAGAAUAAGCACCGGCUAACUUCGUG
rnacentral:rRNA from 1 species